GACGAACGCUGGCGGCGCGCCUAACACAUGCAAGCCGAACGAGCGAGAGAGAGCUUGCUUUCUCAAGCGAGUGGCGAACGGGUGAGUAACGCGUGAGGAACCUGCCUCAAAGAGGGGGACAACAGUUGGAAACGACUGCUAAUACCGCAUAAGCCCACGACCCGGCAUCGGGUUGAGGGAAAAGGAGCAAUCCGCUUUGAGAUGGCCUCGCGUCCGAUUAGCUGGUUGGUGAGGUAACGGCCCACCAAGGCAACGAUCGGUAGCCGGACUGAGAGGUUGAACGGCCACAUUGGGACUGAGACACGGCCCAGACUCCUACGGGAGGCAGCAGUGGGAAAUAUUGCACAAUGGGGGAAACCCUGAUGCAGCGACGCCGCGUGGAGGAAGAAGGUCUUCGGAUUGUAAACUCCUGUUGUUGAGGAAGAUGAUGACGGUACUCAACAAGGAAGUGACGGCUAACUACGUGCCAGCAGCCGCGGUAAAACGUAGGUCACAAGCGUUGUCCGGAAUUACUGGGUGUAAAGGGAGCGCAGGCGGGAAGACAAGUUGGAAGUGAAAUCUAUGGGCUCAACCCAUAAACUGCUUUCAAAACUGUUUUUCUUGAGUAGUGCAGAGGUAGGCGGAAUUCCCGGUGUAGCGGUGGAAUGCGUAGAUAUCGGGAGGAACACCAGUGGCGAAGGCGGCCUACUGGGCACCAACUGACGCUGAGGCUCGAAAGUGUGGGUAGCAAACAGG
rnacentral:rRNA from 1 species